UCUAGAAGACACAUCAUGUUUCCUACAUCUCUCCUCUUACUGCUGCUGGUUAAUGUCUCGUGUGUCUAUUGUCAAGUUCAUCUCAAUCAGCAAAGCUCUGUGACCAUACAGCCAGGCCAAGUAUUGACCCUGUCCUGUGGUGUUUCUGGGUAUUCACUCACUGAUGGAAACUACUGUACCAGCUGGAUAAAACAACCUGCUGGAAAAGCACUGGAGUGGAUUGGGUAUGUGUGUGCUAGUGGCAGUGUGUACUACAGUGACAAACUGAAGAGCAAGUUCAGUAUCUCCAGAGACACUUCCAGCAGCACAGUGACUCUACGGGGACAGAGCCUGCAGACUGAAGACUCGGCUGUGUACUACUGUGCCCGAUAUUUUCAAUGUGACAACGCUUUUGACUACUGGGGUAAAGGCACCUCAGUGACCGUCUCAGCAGGAGGCUCAUCGGUACCGGAGUCCAUCUUCGGACUUUCGCAGUGUGGCUCUGACUCCAAUGGACUGGUCACUCUUGGUUGCAUGACGGGGGGAUUCUCGCCAGCAAACUCCCUGAAGUAUAAGUGGAAAGAUGCACAAGGCAAAGACCUCUCUGACUUCAUACAGUACCCAGACGUCCCUAAAGAUGGCAAAUAUUCCAAAAUCAGCCAGAUUAGUGUCCCGCUGGCAGACUGGGAAGCACGGAAAUCGUUCACUUGUGAAUUGGAGUAUCCUAACGGCAACAAGAACAUUGUUCUAACUAAACCAGAGGAAGUCCUGCAAAGUCCAAGUCUGUAUUUAACGAAACCCACGAGCGAAGAAAUAGCUCAAAAUAAGACCGCUACCUUUGCCUGCUUUGCUGCUGGCUUUUCUCCGCCUGUGCACACAUUUAAAUGGAUGAAAGAAGAUGGCAAUGGGAAGCAGGAAAUGGCCAGUUGGUACAGCUUUACUUCCACAGCGAAUGGCACUAACUUUGCUACCAGCUACCUGCAAGUUCCAGAGAAUAUGUGGAAACAUCAAGGCACAAUAAUCACAUGCAUCUCCGAGCAUAAGACCGGAGAGAAAUCCAGAUCAGUGGGAUAUCAGUUUAGGAGGGGUGACUGCGAUGAAGAUGCUGCUGAAGUGAAGGCUGACAUCAUAGGUCCCUCUUCCGAGGAUCUUCUUGUUCGUAAGGAGGGCUGGGUUCAGUGCAAAUUCAACGGUGACACUGCAGACGUUACAAAAGAAGGUAUAGAAUGGAGGAAAGAUGGCAAACCAACUGUGUGGAACGAGCAAGAAGGCCUUCUGGAAGAAUCUGGCAGCAUCACCAUCAAGCUUAAAAUCAAAUUUGAAGAAUGGCAGAAUGGUACAGAGUUCAGCUGUUUUAUCCCUCAUAAAAAGGUUCCUUCAGGAUUAACAAAGUCCUACAAACGAGAAACGGGAGGAGAGCACGUUAAGCCCUCCGUCUUCCUAAUGCCACCCCCAGAGCGUGAGCUCAGCGAAUACAUGACCCUAACUUGUUAUGCCAAAGAUUUCCACCCCAAGGAGGUGUUUGUGUCUUGGCUUGCUGAUGAUGAGCCAGUGGCAGAUAAGUACACAUGGAACAUCACCAGUGUAAUGAAUACUGGCAAUGGAAAAUACUCGGUGUACAGCCAGCUUACCGUCAGUGCAUACGACUGGGAGAACGUGGUGUUUAGCUGUGUUGUGUACCAUGAGGCCAGUGAGGCCAGUGUCCAAAUGAUCUCCAGGUCCAUUGACAAGGCCUCCCAGAAGCCCAGCAUAGUCAGUCUAAGCAUGAAUCUUCCACAGUGCAAGAGCGUCUGAUGUGUCAAUGCGUGUGUUUGUGUGUGUGUCUGCACGUAGGUGUCACUCUUGUGUUCUUGCGUGCUUGAUUCCACGUGAAUUAAAAGGACGUUUGUGAUUGUGUAAUAUUGUGUGCUUCCCAUUUGCUUGUGUGUGCUGUUCCCCUCGUUUGCAAAAAUCAAAUUGAAAGCAAUAAAAAAGCAUGUCAUUA